GAUGAACGCUAGCUACAGGCUUAACACAUGCAAGUCGAGGGGCAGCAUGGUCUUAGCUUGCUAAGGCCGAUGGCGACCGGCGCACGGGUGAGUAACACGUAUCCAACCUGCCGUCUACUCUUGGACAGCCUUCUGAAAGGAAGAUUAAUACAAGAUGGCAUCAUGAGUCCGCAUGUUCACAUGAUUAAAGGUAUUCCGGUAGACGAUGGGGAUGCGUUCCAUUAGAUAGUAGGCGGGGUAACGGCCCACCUAGUCUUCGAUGGAUAGGGGUUCUGAGAGGAAGGUACCCCACAUUGGAACUGAGACACGGUCCAAAAUCCUACGGGAGGCAGCAGUGAGGAAUAUUGGUCAAUGGGCGCAGGCCUGAACCAGCCAAGUAGCGUGAAGGAUGACUGCCCUAUGGGUUGUAAACUUCUUUUAUAAAGGAAUAAAGUCGGGUAUGUAUACCCGUUUGCAUGUACUUUAUGAAUAAGGAUCGGCUAACUCCGUG
rnacentral:rRNA from 1 species